rnacentral:tRNA from 1 species
UUCCCUGUGGCUCAGUUGGUAGAGCAUGGUGUGUGCAACGCCAGGGUUGUGGGUUUGAUUCCCACAGGGGGAC